rnacentral:tRNA from 2 species
UGGUGGCCCCUACUGGACUUGAACCAGUGACCAAGCGAUUAUGAGUCGCGUGCUCUAACCAACUGAGCUAAGGGGCC